UACAGAGGGUGCGAGCGUUAAUCGGAAUUAUUGGGCGUAAAGGGCAUGUAGGUGGUUUUAAAAGUUUGAUGUGAAAGCCCCGGGCUUAACCUGGGAAUUGCGUUGGAGACUGCAAGGCUGGAGUCUGGCAGAGGGGGGUAGAAUUCCACGUGUAGCAGUGAAAUGCGUAGAGAUGUGGAGGAAUACCGAUGGCGAAGGCAGCCCCCUGGGCUAACACUGACGCUCAUGCACGAAAGCGUGGGGAGCAAACAGG
rnacentral:rRNA from 1 species